rnacentral:rRNA from 1 species
AACGAACGCUGGCGGCAUGCCUAACACAUGCAAGUCGAACGAGACCUUCGGGUCUAGUGGCGCACGGGUGCGUAGCGCGUGGGAACCUGCCUUUAGGUUCGGGAUAACUCAGAGAAAUUUGAGCUAAUACCGGAUGAUGUCUUCGGACCAAAGAUUUAUCGCCUUUAGAUGGGCCCGCGUUGGAUUAGCUAGUUGGUGGGGUAAAGGCCUACCAAGGCGACGAUCCAUAGCUGGUCUGAGAGGAUGAUCAGCCACACUGGGACUGAGACACGGCCCAGACUCCUACGGGAGGCAGCAGUGGGGAAUAUUGGACAAUGGGCGAAAGCCUGAUCCAGCAAUGCCGCGUGAGUGAUGAAGGCCUUAGGGUUGUAAAGCUCUUUUACCCGAGAUGAUAAUGACAGUAUCGGGAGAAUAAGCGCCGGCUAACUCCGUG